rnacentral:rRNA from 1 species
UACAGAGGGGGCAAGCGUUAUUCGGAAUUAUUGGGCGUAAAGGGCGCGUAGGCGGCUUUGCAAGUGGCGGGUGAAAUCCCCUCGGCUUAACCGAGGAACUGCCUGUCAAACUGCAUGGCUUGAGACCAGGAGAGGUGAGUGGAAUUCCCAGUGUAGCGGUGAAAUGCGUAGAUAUGCGGAGGAACACCAGUGGCGAAAGCGACUUUCUGGUCCUUAACUGACGCUGAGGCGCGAAAGCAUGGGGGAGCGAACGGG